rnacentral:rRNA from 1 species
GAUGAACGCUGGCGGCGUGCCUAAUACAUGCAAGUCGAACGCUGGAGCUCUAGCUUGCUUGAUCGAAGGAGUGGCGAACGGGUGAGUAAUACAUAAGCAACCUACCCACGAAGACUGGGAUAAUCUCUGGAAACGGGGACUAAUACCGGAUAGGUAAUCGGAAGGCAUCUUCUGGUUAUUAAAGGUUAAAAACACUGGUAGAUGGGCAUAUGUCGCAUUAGUUAGUUGGUGAGGUAACGGCCCACCAAGACGAUGAUGCGUAGCCGGCCUGGGAGGGUGAACGGCUACAUUGGGACUGAGACCCGGACCAGACUGCUACGGGAGGCAGCAGUAGGGAAGUCUCGGCAAUGGGGGCAAACCUGACCGAGCCACGCCGCGUGAGUGAAGACGGCGUUCGGGUUGUAAAGCUCUGUUGUAAGGGAAGAACGGUAGAUAGAGAAUAUCUAAGUGACGGUACCUUACCAGAAAGCCACGGCUAACUACGUG